rnacentral:rRNA from 1 species
GACGAACGCUGGCGGCGUGCUUAACACAUGCAAGUCGAACGGAAAGGCCCUGCUUUUGUGGGGUGCUCGAGUGGCGAACGGGUGAGUAACCCGUGAGUAACCUGCCCUUGACUUUGGGAUAACUUCAGGAAACUGGGGCUAAUACCGGAUAGGAGCUCCUGCUGCAUGGUGGGGGUUGGAAAGUUUCGGCGGUUGGGGAUGGACUCGCGGCUUAUCAGCUUGUUGGUGGGGUAGUGGCUUACCAAGGCUUUGACGGGUAGCCGGCCUGAGAGGGUGACCGGCCACAUUGGGACUGAGAGACGCACCAGACUCGUACGGGAGGCAGCAGUGGGGAAUAUGGCACAAUGGGCGGAAGCCUGAUGCAGCAACGCCGCGUGCGGGAUGACGGCCUUCGGGUUGUAAACCGCUGUCGCCUGUGACGAAGCGGGAGUGACGGUAAUGGGUAAAGAAGCACCGGCUAACUACGUG